UGGCAAACAUUGGCCAUCAGGCGGAGCUACAAAUAUGAAAAUUCUUUAUCUCAUGAAGGGCUCGUGCAAUUUUUACACUACUUGGAGGGUACUCUGAAGGCCACCCCUACAGUGGGGUACUGAUUGGUCAAAGUGGGCCAUGGGACCCAU